UGGGGAAUAUUGGACAAUGGGCGCAAGCCUGAUCCAGCAAUGCCGCGUGAGUGAUGAAGGCCUUAGGGUUGUAAAGCUCUUUCGCACGCGACGAUGAUGACGGUAGCGUGAGAAGAAGCCCCGGCUAACUUCGUGCCAGCAGCCGCGGUAAUACGAAGGGGGCUAGCGUUGUUCGGAAUUACUGGGCGUAAAGGGCGCGUAGGCGGCCUGUUUAGUCAGAAGUGAAAGCCCCGGGCUCAACCUGGGAAUAGCUUUUGAUACUGGCAGGCUUGAGUUCCGGAGAGGAUGGUGGAAUUCCCAGUGUAGAGGUGAAAUUCGUAGAUAUUGGGAAGAACACCGGUGGCGAAGGCGGCCAUCUGGACGGACACUGACGCUGAGGCGCGAAAGCGUGGGGGAGCAAACAGGAUUAGAUACCCUGGUAGUCCACGCCGUAAACGAUGAAUGCUAGACGUCGGGGUGCAUGCACUUCGGUGUCGCCGCUAACGCAUUAAGCAUUCCGCCUGGGGGAGUACGGCCGCAAGGUUAAAAACUU
rnacentral:rRNA from 1 species